rnacentral:rRNA from 1 species
AUGCAGUCGAGCGGCAGCGGGUCCUUCGGGAUGCCGGCGAGCGGCGGACGGGUGAGUAAUGCCUAGGAAUCUGCCUGGUAGUGGGGGAUAACUCGGGGAAACUCGAGCUAAUACCGCAUACGUCCUACGGGAGAAAGUGGGGGAUCUUCGGACCUCACGCUAUCAGAUGAGCCUAGGUCGGAUUAGCUAGUUGGUGAGGUAAAGGCUCACCAAGGCGACGAUCCGUAACUGGUCUGAGAGGAUGAUCAGUCACACUGGAACUGAGACACGGUCCAGACUCCUACGGGAGGCAGCAGUGGGGAAUAUUGGACAAUGGGCGAAAGCCUGAUCCAGCCAUGCCGCGUGUGUGAAGAAGGUCUUCGGAUUGUAAAGCACUUUAAGUUGGGAGGAAGGGCAGUAAGUUAAUACCUUGCUGUUUUGACGUUACCAACAGAAUAAGCACCGGCUAACUUCGUGCCAGCAGCCGCGGUAAUACGAAGGGUGCAAGCGUUAAUCGGAAUUACUGGGCGUAAAGCGCGCGUAGGUGGUUCAGCAAGUUGGAGGUGAAAUCCCCGGGCUCAACCUGGGAACUGCCUCCAAAACUACUGGGCUAGAGUAUGGUAGAGGGUGGUGGAAUUUCCUGUGUAGCGGUGAAAUGCGUAGAUAUAGGAAGGAACACCAGUGGCGAAGGCGACCACCUGGACUAAUACUGACACUGAGGUGCGAAAGCGUGGGGAGCAAACAGGAUUAGAUACCCUGGUAGUCCACGCCGUAAACGAUGUCUACUAGCCGUUGGGAUCCUUGAGAUCUUAGUGGCGCAGCUAACGCGAUAAGUCGACCGCCUGGGGAGUACGGCCCGCAAGGUUAAAACUCAAAUGAAUUG